GCCUGCUCCCUGCCUGGGGCCUAGCCUGAUGUACAAGCCCAUUGGCUGGGAUUGCUUAAAUGUCCCACACAAAUAUAAACACCUCUACAGUGUUGGGAAGAUGAAAGGAAUAGCUUAUUGAUAUUGUAUAUGCUAACGUUUGGAUGUGGGACAGGAAAGACAGCACUGAACUGCUGGUAUGCAGUGCUGAAGCUGGGCUGCAUGAAGAGGUUUUCAUUUACUGAUGUUGGAUGUGUGCCCAGACUGCCAUAGUAGAAUUCAGGGAGAGACAUAGAAAGGAGGAGAACCACAGAAUGGUUUUCGUGAACAUCCACGUGGGGCAGAAGAAUAAAUACAUAUGAAGACUAUGUUUCCAGAAAUGAAAGGACUGGCCACUGGGGAACAAUUGGGAGCCCCCUCAAGUCCCACCCUGGUCCUCUUCAUUUGUACUUGAAGACUUCAGCUAGAUCCUUGAAAUCUGAACCUGGCCUUCCACGUGCAACCAACCCUUCUGUCUUCAGGAUUUAGAAAAGACUAAUCUUGUUUUACUCUGAUGCCACAUUUCAUUUACCUGGAUGGACAGCCAACAUUGGACACUCUUCGUGUUCACCGAUCACAGCAGUUUGGACGGUGAUCAUGCAGCCUGUCUGUCAAUUUGGUGAUGGUGGUCCUCAACAGAAAGGAUUCAGUGAAAAAAAAAAUCUCUUCCUUCCACCUUAAGGUGUCUCCCUUGGAGUUAUGUGCAAGACGGAGCUGCUCAGCGUUUGCCUUUCACCCCAAGGACUCGAAAGAUCCUCGGAAACAAAGGAUUCCUCUGGGAAUCAUCCAUAAGCAUCAAAUGGAAAAUUUCCUUUCCCCCAGUACGCCUCCAUUCCACCUCCCCAUUCUGGAGACGUGAUUAUUGGCCAAAUCAGAUCAGGAACAGAAGCAGCAGGAGCUGAAAGAUGCUUGCUCUUCUGAGCGUCCCAGCUCUGGGUGUGAUAUUUAUGUGUGCAUGUGCAUAAAUAUAUAAUUAUAAAUAUAUAAUACAUAAACACCGUAAAAUACAAUUAAUCGGCUGAACCAAAAGCCCUUGCCACCGUGUCCGUUUUAAACUUUUCAGCUCCAGUGAUUUUUUUUUUUUUUUAAUAUACCAGCUUGACAAUAAAGGAGAAGGGAAAGGGGGGUGGGAAUGGGAAGGUCUCCCGAAUACAUUUUUUGACAUUUUGUUUAUUAUCAUGUUAUCUAGGCUGGUGGUAAAUGGAUGGACUUGUCAGCAGAAAUCUCUUGGUGAAGUAAAUAAAGAAUCUUAAUAGGCAAGGAGAAUAGAACUAACGGCAAAUUGCUCACAAAGAGAUCUAAUUUAUUGGUUUCGCUUUCACUGAGAUUCUGUUCUGGAUUCUGGCUUUGCCAGAAGAAACAGCUGAAUGAUGACAUGAACCCAUACGCAGAGAAAGUGCUCUAUCUGGUAGAAAAUGGGGAAAAUGUGGGGAGAGUCUCUGCGUGGCCUCAGCCCACCUUCUUCUAAAAGUUAGCUGCCUUUUUACUGCUUCGGUAGUGCCACAAAGCCAAGGCCUGGAAGGUCGCCUCCGGUUUCAUUUUCUGGUCCCUCUUAAUAAGCCCAUGCUGCAUUCAUGAAAGAAAAAUAUUCAAUGUGACCACACCAGUUAUAAUAUUAUGGUUAUUUGGGUUUAAGCAUAAUAAAGAUACCAACAAGGGUUCCUCAGUUAUUAAUAUUUUUUUCAGGUUAAAAGGCAGCAAUAAAUCAUAAAGAGCAUUUCCAAGCAGUAGCACUUUUAUAGAAAAUUGCUUGCUAUUUAAACAAAAUAUUUGCUCUUCAUCUCAGGAAAAUAUGUGGAUGCUUCUGAACAAGGAGCUAUUUUACCUACUUUCUGCCUUCUAUAAUUAGCCCAUCUUAUUUGGAAAAAAAAAAUUAUUUUUUUGAUUUGCUUGCCCGGAUCACAGCAAAAUAUAGGGCUCAAGUUUGCUUUGGCCAAAUGAACAAUUCCUUCAUUAGCAGCCUACGUUUUUCCACAGAGCGUGGGGCACUGAGUUUAAAUAGUUGCCCUCCUGUAUCCAUUCUUCUGAGAGGGCUGGAGACCUCCACGUAGUUUUCUUCUGGGCAUGGAUGAAAUAAGAUAAGGAGAGAGUUUUGAUCCAAUAGACAUGGGUCAGAAUUUCUGCCCACCUCUUGUCAAUGUAGAAUCUCCUUCAUUUAUGCACUUAGGAGAAUAACUCUCCCAUGAACCCUGAGCCCAGAGGUCCCCUCAGGAUGGGGCCAUUUAUCUCCACAAGUUGGCUUUGGGAGGGAGUUGGGAGGAGAAGGUCACCCAGAUAUUAACCUAUCUUUCUUCACUCCUGGCCUGGACUCGCUUGUUAGCAGGAAACAAUGGACAUUUAGACUCUGGCAUGGUGUCCAUUUGACCUUUCUCUACUUCAUCAUAGUCUCUUAGAGAAGCCAACAAAUUUGACUACAUCUCGGUGAUCACAUGGCUCAUGACGGUUCAUUGUUUAUGCAUUUACCCUGGAAAGAAAACGUAAUUGUGAAUAUCUGUUUAAAUAUUCCCUUCAGCCAAAAAUAACCAUGUCAGUGGCAGGUGAGAUCAGGACCAUAGGUUUAAAACAAAUGAACACAUCUUCUUCUAGGCCAACUGCAGUGCCAGUUUCAUAUUCUGAGUUAAACAUGUUUUUUUUUUUUUUCUUCUCUCUCUCUUUCUCUCUCUCUCUCUCUCUCUCUCUCAAAAAUAAGUUCCUAAAAAGAGUUCCUGGCAUUCCAAGUAAUGAUUGUAAAUCUACCAAGUUAAUUUAUGAACCAAUAAAGUCCUGUCAAGUCUCCUUCCCAUCUUCUGGAAAACAGGUCUGCAGAGAUGAAAAAAAGACCAGCUAGUUACUAAGGAAAUAUAUUCUUACUUCUCAUAUAUUCCUCUUCAGCCUUGCUUUGGAGUCGGCUUCUGUGCAUUGUGGAAUAUGGAAAUCCCUACAAACACAGAAAGUAUUUGGGGUGAUAAUGGUCUACAUUGUUAGAUGGCAAGGCUUUAAGGAAAUUAACAAUAAAUGCAUCAUUAUUAUAUCCAAACUGCCAUCAGAUUAAAUUCAAAACUCUAAAUGAAAAGCUGAGGCAUUCGGUUCCUUAGACACAGAACAUCAAAUCAAGGCUGUUACCAGAAGACAGUAUUUAAGACGUCCCCCCCCCCCUUUUCUCCUCAGUAAACACCUUAUAAAUUUGUCUGAAAUUUUCAAAUUUUGCAUUAAUUGAGGCUCCUUUGCCUGUUCAUUUGAGUUUUGGUGUGAAAAUAUAUCAAAUCUUAACACACAAAAAGCUGCUCUCUCAAGCCACAUUUCAUAACAUGAUUUCAUCAGAUGGUCUUAAUUUUCUGCAUGACAUUAUCUUUCAAGCUGACAUAAGACUGGGCUGUGAUAUUUGCAUACUCAAGACAGAACCAUGCAGCUUAACUAUGUUUCUGCUUGUGUGGGAAUUUGGGGCAUUUUUACUUUGAGGAAUCAAACAAAUAAACCUUCCAAAAAUAAAAAUAAAAAUAUUUUCUCUACUC